AGGAAGGUGCGUAAGCCAUGGGCGACGCCAGAACGAGUUGCCUUCAAAAGUACAUAAGGCAAAGCAUAACUUUUGUUCGUAAACAGGGAGUAAUAAAAGGAGCAAGUGGGUUGCUGCCGGUGGAUUAAUUCAAAUAGCGGCUGAUACAGUAGAAUAAGCACGUUGUGCUACCCCCACCACAAAGCACGUUGUGGCAGCUCUUGCCGAGCAUUUAAGCUCGAGUCUGCCUCAACAGCGGGGCGGUCAUCAACAAAAAGGAAGAAGCAUGUGCAAGGCGCGGGACUGCAGGUGGGAGGCCACCUUCCGGUCGGUGCAGAAGAAGAGCGCCGGGAAGCUGCAGGACGAGGCGAGAGAGGCACAGCGGUCCCCCGACGGCGCGCCAGGUAAUGCGGGAGCCGCCUCGUUUGGCGGGGAGAGGAAGAGGAAGGGCACGGUGGUUGUGAGGGAGAAGGAGAGGGCGGAGAUGGCGAUGCAGUUGAUCCUCUGGGGGCCCAACUAGCAGUGUAUUUGCCGGUUAAUAUGCUUCCUUGUUCCCUCGACCUAUCAUAAUUCUUUGUUUUGGUUCGCCAUCACAAAUGAUUUCUUGGGUGCUCAUUUGACAAACCAUUUGAUUUGAUUUGAUUCGAGGCUUGUGUGAAGUUUUUUUUUUAUUUAAAGAAAAAAAGGAAUUAAAAGCUUUAAUAAUGAAGUCGAAAGAAAUAAUCCAUACUUUUUUUUUCUAUAAUUUUUAAAAGGAUUUAUGAUUGAUGUUCGUUCCCUUUUCUCGUAUCAAUGUUAAUGAUGGAAGAACCUUAAUUGUGUCUUUCUCUAAUAAUAAAAUUUUGAAAUAUCUUAAAUUCUUAGAUAGGAAAAGAGUUUUGGCCCAAAUUGAUAAAUCAUUUUCGACCCAUAUCACUUUAUAAUAAUAAUUAUAGGAUCUUGGCUAAUAUCCUUAUAAACUGUAUCAAGGCUCACCUUUAUAAUCUCAUUUCUGUUGAACAAUCCGUGUUCAUUAAGGGUAAAAGUAUUUACGAUAAUAAGUUCUCUACUCACUUGAUAACUCUAAAGGUAAAUAUCAUUUUAUUAUGAGCAAAUUGGAUUGAAAAUGCUUGUAUUUCUUAAAAUAAUAUUAAACAAAUAGUACACACAUUUUUUUUAUCAAAUCUUUAAAUGCAUAUCAUGUCCUUGUCCUAAGUUUAAACAUGUAAAUGUUUCAUCCGACCCACAUAAACAAGAGUUUAAAGAAUAUUUUAUAAAAUAUUUUAUCUUUAUGAAAUAGGGGGGCGUCUGAUCUUUUUUGACCACUCGCGUUUAUACUCGAAGACUUAAGAUUACUAACUUAAGUGUUAGAUGGACUAGGUCGGGAAUCCUUUCUCAACCUCGAUCAUUGUGUAGGUGAUACCUCGAGAGUUCAACGUUUUCA
rnacentral:lncRNA from 1 species